rnacentral:tRNA from 1 species
GUGGGUAUAGCUCAGCAGUAGAGUGCAUGCCUAGAGUGCAUGAGGUCCUGGGUUCAAUCCCCACUCCAUU